AAUCAACGCUGGCGGCGUGCCUAACACAUGCAAGUCGAACGAGAAAGGGUGGGUGUAGCAAUACAUUCGCCUGAGUAAAGUGGCGACCGGGUGAGUAACACGUGGCCAACCUACCCUCGAGCGGGGGAUAACCUGGGGAAACUCGGGCUAAUACCGCAUAACGUCCCGAUGGCACAAGCCAAAUGGGACCAAAAGGCCCGCAAGGGUCACUUGGGGAGGGGGCGUGCGGCCGAUUAGCUAGAUGGUGAGGUAACGGCCCACCAUGGCUUUGAUCGGUAGCCGGCCUGAGAGGGCGCACGGGUCACACUGGCACUGAAACACGGGCCAGACUCCUACGGGAGGCAGCAGUGGGGAAUUUUG
rnacentral:rRNA from 1 species